rnacentral:rRNA from 1 species
AUUGAACGCUGGCGGUAGGCCUAACACAUGCAAGUCGAACGCGAAAGUCCUUCGGGAUGAGUAGAGUGGCGGACGGGUGAGUAACGCGUAGGAAUCUAUCCUGUAGUGGGGGAUAACGUUUCGAAAGGAACGCUAAUACCGCAUACGCCCCAAGGGGGAAAGCGGGGGAUCUUCGGACCUCGUGCUAUAGGAGGAGCCUGCGUCGGAUUAGCUAGUUGGUGAGGUAAAGGCUCACCAAGGCGUCGAUCCGUAGCUGGUCUGAGAGGAUGAUCAGCCAUGCGGGAACUGAGAAACAGUCGGGCAUCCUACGGGGGGCAGCAGUGGGGAAUAUUGCGCAAUUGGCGAAAGCCUGACGCAACCAUACCGCGUGUGUGAAGAAGGCCUUCGGGUUGUAAAGCACUUUCAGUGGGGAGGAAAAGCUGGUGGCUAAUAUCCAUCGGCCGUGACGCUACCCACAGAAGAAGCACCGGCUAAUUCCGUGCCAGCAGCCGCGGUAAGAC